CCUACGGUAGGCAGCAGUGAGGAAUAUUGGUCAAUGGGCGCGAGCCUGAACCAGCCAAGUAGCGUGAAGGAUGACUGCCCUACGGGUUGUAAACUUCUUUUAUAAAGGAAUAAAGUGAGGCACGUGUGCCUUUUUGUAUGUACUUUAUGAAUAAGGAUCGGCUAACUCCGUGCCAGCAGCCGCGGUAAUACGGAGGAUGCGAGCGUUAUCCGGAUUUAUUGGGUUUAAAGGGAGCGUAGAUGGGUUGUUAAGUCAGUUGUGAAAGUUUGGGGCUCAACCGUAAAAUUGCAAUUGAUACUGGAAGCCUUGAGUGCAGUUGAGGUAGGCGGAAUUCGUGGUGUAGCGGUGAAAUGCGUAGAUAUCACGAAGAACUCCGAUUGCGAAGGCAGCUUACUAAACUGUCACUGACAUUGAUGCUCGAAAGUGUGGGGAUCAAACAGGAUUAGAUACCCUUGUAGUC
rnacentral:rRNA from 1 species